GGGGUAGACCUCCCACCCUUUGUUUACAAUACCUUUGUUGCUUUGGCGGCCCCGUCGCAAGACAACCGGCUCCGGCUGGUCAGCGGCCCCAGAGGACUCAAAACUCAUAUUAUUAUUGUCGUCUGAGUACUAUAUAAUAGUUAAAACUUUCAACAACGGAUCUCUUGGUUCUGGCAUCGAUGAAGAACGCAGCGAAAUGCGAUAAGUAAUGUGAAUUGCAGAAUUCAGUGAAUCAUCGAAUCUUUGGACGCACAUUGCGCCCCCUGGUACUCCGGGGGGCAUGCCUGUUCGAGCGUCAUUACAACCCUCAGGCUCUGCUUGGUAUUGGGCGUCACCCCCGAGUGCGCCUUAAAAUCAGUGGCGGUGCCGUCUGGCUUCAAGCGUAGUAAUACUUCUCGCUUUGGAGUCCGGGCGAGCGUCCUGCCAAAACCCCCAUAUUUUUACAGGUUGACCUCGGAUCAGGUAGG
rnacentral:rRNA from 1 species